rnacentral:rRNA from 1 species
GUGCCAGCCGCCGCGGUAAUACGUAGGGUGCGAGCGUUAAUCGGAAUUACUGGGCGUAAAGCGUGCGCAGGCGGAUUGUUAAGCAAGACGUGAAAUCCCCGGGCUUAACCUGGGAAUGGCGUUUUGAACUGGCAGUCUAGAGUGCGUCAGAGGGGGGUGGAAUUCCACGUGUAGCAGUGAAAUGCGUAGAGAUGUGGAGGAACACCGAUGGCGAAGGCAGCCCCCUGGGAUGACACUGACGCUCAUGUACGAAAGCGUGGGUAGCAAACAGGAUUAGAUACCCUGGUAGUCCACGCCCUAAACGAUGUCAACUGGUUGUUGGGGGAGUGAAAUCCCUUAGUAACGAAGCUAACGCGUGAAGUUGACCGCCUGGGGAGUACGGUCGCAAGAUUAAAACUCAAAUAAAUUGACGG